UCCUCGAUAGUAUAGUGGUGAGUAUACAAGCCUGUCAUCAACGCAGAACGCUUGGGACCCGGGUUCAAUUCCCGGUCGGGGAG
rnacentral:tRNA from 1 species